UACGUAGGGGGCAAGCGUUGUCCGGAUUUAUUGGGCGUAAAGAGCGUGUAGGCGGCCAAGCAGGUCCGCUGUGAAAACUCGAGGCUCAACCUCGAGACGUCGGUGGAAACCGUUUGGCUAGAGUCCGGAAGAGGAGAGUGGAAUUCCCGGUGUAGCGGUGAAAUGCGCAGAUAUCGGGAAGAACACCCGUGGCGAAGGCGGCUCUCUGGGACGGUACUGACGCUGAGACGCGAAAGCUAGGGGAGCGAACAGG
rnacentral:rRNA from 1 species